rnacentral:rRNA from 1 species
UGGGGAAUAUUGCACAAUGGGCGCAAGCCUGAUGCAGCCAUGCCGCGUGUGUGAAGAAGGCCUUCGGGUUGUAAAGCACUUUCAGCGGGGAGGAAGGCGUUAAGGUUAAUAACCUUGGCGAUUGACGUUACCCGCAGAAGAAGCACCGGCUAACUCCGUGCCAGCAGCCGCGGUAAUACGGAGGGUGCAAGCGUUAAUCGGAAUUACCGGGCGUAAAGCGCACGCAGUCGGUCUGUCCAGUCGGAUGUGAAAUCCCCGGGCUCAACCUGGGAACUGCAUGAGAAACUGGCAGGCUAGAGUCUUGUAGAGGGGGGUAGAAGUCCAGGUGUAGCGGUGGAAUGCGUAGAGAUCUGGAGGAAUACCGGUGGGGAAGGCGGCCCCCUGGACAAAGACUGACGCUCAGGUGCGAAAGCGUGGGGAGCAAACAGG